CACAUGCUUUCAAAUGAGGUCUCAUCUCUGAGUUAGAGUAAACUGUCAAGACCUGACACUUACUCAUUUUACCUUUUACCAUGGGACUUGUAACCGUCACUUCUGUCUUGAGCAGUUAAAAGAUAGAACGGUCUAGUCAAGCGCCAUGUCUCUUAUUCUUGAUCAGCUAUAGCUCUGGAGUUUUUGCAGAUUUUCAAAUAAAACUCAGAGAUUCCUUGUAUGACUCUCUCAGAUCUCUCUUUUGUGGUAUUUCUGGAUCCUUACCAAGGCAGUGAUGGUAUAUGCCUUCUCUCAAAGUAUGUAGUAUUUGUGGUAUGAAGCAUAGUGACCUUGCUUUCUCUCUCACCCUACUUUAAUAAGGCUUUUGAUAUCUGGAGCUCAUAGGUGGGAGAUAAAGUAUACAUACUUACAAGACAUUUAUUGCAUAGUCAAACCAUGGAUCCAGAGAAACAAGUCAAUAAGUCAAAUCAAGAUGUGCAUGUGUGGCGAAUGAAUGGAGUAAGGUGAUGAUGGUGAUAACAAUGGUAAAAGUCUAAUUCUACUUGUGCUCUUUUGAGGGGAUACAUACCUUCCAUGCUCUUUUGAAACUUUUUGAGGAGAAUGAGAUGCUCUAUAUUUUCUUUUUCUUUCCUCUCACGUGGGUAUCUUGUACCCCUAAUUCUACUGUCGGACACUUAUCCAUUUUUACCUCUCGUCUCACUUUUUCUUUUAUUUCGAGGUUCCGGGCACUUGCCCCUUUUUAUUUCCUCGUAUCCUUUCUCUUUUUUUAGAGCACUCAUCUCCUGAAAUAAUAUAGCAAGUGGUAGUAACCAAGAUAACUCGAGCAUUUAUUUCAUAGGGGAAAAACAGAAAUAGGAGAAUGUUUUUGGCUAUUCUCUCCCGGAUUAGGUAGAAUACUUUUGGGUGGCUCUGGAGAUGGAAAUGGGUGGAUAUAUGUGGAUGCGUACUUUCGGAGUAGAAGUAGCAUGUGUGAGUGAACGUGCAAGUGAAUCUUGAUUUAACCACAUGACAAGCUCCUAAGGGUCUACACAACUUGACCACACUCAAUGCUCAUAAGCAGUAAAAAGUAAAUGUGUGGCUCAAAGUCUAGCAAGCAUGUAUAUAUGGCUGUGGUAGGAAUUUAAACUCUCAUCAUACAGGAACUCAUCAUGUGUUAUUUUAAAGAUAAAAUUCUCCAAAUUUCUAGCAUCUCUAGGAACAGAUAAACAAUAGCUCAACCUUCCCAUAUCAUAUCCAUUGACAACUUAGACCAGAUCAAGUUCUCUUCCCACAAGUUCAGGUUUAGAGCAAGCUUUAAAUUAUAACAGUUAUGUCUAAACUUGAGAAAGAACUGAAAUUUGAAAAUUAGGCAGAGCAACUAUUCAUCAUAUCCAUGCUAGAGUUUUAUUAAGAUUCAGUUUAGCAUAGCUACUUUAUUUAUUUAUUAAGCAAACUAAGCAACGAUAUAUAUAUAUAUAAGCAAAAAAAUCUUUAUUUGGUUUUUCAUGGUUAUGUAUAUUUUUAUUUUAAUAUAGUAUAAGUAUAUAAAUAGAUAGAAAUACGUAGCGGGAUAAAUGGGGGUGCUCUCCCCCAAGCUGAAUUUUAAUGUAAUUUCUUCUAAUGUAGCUAGCAGGUGGAGGAGGUGUAUGUGAAAGUCGGCAGCACCCUGGUAGCGAUUAGGAUGUCCUCCGUCUGCUAGUCUUCUUGAUCCUUGAAUUAUGUGGAGCUCAAAUAGACAACAAAGCUUUGUGGAACUGAUUAGGUGUUAGCAUAAAUAUCUAGCCCUUUAUCAUGUUGAGCCUCCUCAAUAAAUGCUACUUUCUUUGGUAGGAUCACAAUUUUAUUUUUAUAUUUUUAUAGAGCAGAAGAAUAUUUUUAUUUUAUUAUUUUUUUAUGCCACCACAGUGAAUGUACUUAUGGGUUUUAUGCCACUUGUAUACUCACAUGGGGCUUACUGGUUUUAACAUUUUUAUUUUCUUUUUAGGAUAGUAUGAACAUAAUUAACUAAGCAAACUAUUUUAAAUAAUUGAAAGGAAAAAGGAUAACUACCAAGUUUACCUCUUGGCAAGGCGUUCGUUGUUUUUAAGUCCUCUGAACGGGACUCUCUGUUUUCUCAGUCGUCCUGGGAUUCACUGGAUGGCGUAGCCUCCUCUUCGUGUAUGACUAUCUUCUCUCUCCACACCUGACUCGGUGCUAUGGUCUCCUCAGGAUAGUUCUGUUCAAGUUGUAUGUCUUCAGACCUUACCACUUCUCCUUCGUAGUCUGCCCAUCCAUCCUUGAUGAUUUGCCUCCUCUGGUUGCGGUUGCGUCGUCUUUUUCUUGUCCUGACCUGCUUAGAGUCUUCAACUAUAUAGUUAGGGUCAGUAAAAUAGCGGUGUAACUUCUCCGAGGGGAAGUGCAUGUGGACUUCUCUAGUUCCAAUGUAGAUGAUUGCUUUAACGGUGCUGAGGAAAGGUCUCCCAAGGAUGAUGGGUGGAUGGUACUCGUCUUCUCCCAUGUCAAUAACCUGAAAGUCUGUAUGGACAAAAUGAUCAUCUAUUUUGACAAGGACAUCAGUUACUAUACCUUCAACCUUUUGGAAUGUCUGAUCUGCCAUCAGGAGCUGAAUGUAUGUUGGUUUUAGGGGCAUGGUUCCGAACAGGAGCCGAUAGGUGACUGUGGCCAUUAUGUUGACGCCCGAUCCGAUGUCGCAAAGCGUUUUGUAGAAGUUGUACCCAUCAAUGGAGCACUGGAUGCUUGGCAUACCUGGGUCGUCCUUCUUGGUCAGGAACGGUGACUUAAGUCGAUGAUCUUGACCUCCUUGAACUGCAGUGACGAUUGUUGAUAUUUGGUAACGCAAUAAGGAAAUGAUCCGCAAGCGCACGGAUAUCGGUGAGCAUUUCACCCGGGAGGUUAUCCAGAGUUAUCGUAUUUAUAUUUUUACCACUGGGAGAAAGGGUGCAUCUGACUAACCAAAUCUAUUGCUACUACCCCUUUAGGCUACAAAGAAUGUUUCUCGAUGUAAGUGAUGUAUAGAGAAGACUGCAACCGUAGUCUCGUUCUAACCUUGGUAAGGAUGAUCUACUGUUCUAUUGGGGAGGCUCACAGAAUCUAGACAACACAAAGGAUGUUCGACCCGCACCUAUAAACCCUACCCGUCCUGCUAACAAGAUAUGGGAUACAAAGGUAACUCGGAAAUGUCACGUUCCUCGCUACUACCACGGUCCAGCUAGUCAGGGGAUAUCUAUGAGUACCCUAGCCUAAACACCACGUUUACGCUAACAAGUGAUUACUCUAAUACUCAACCGGAAGAGGAUUAAAGUAAACUCAUAAACCAAAGAACAAUAAAACAAGAACUUACUAGUAAUUAGAAGUCGAAUUACUGAAGAAUCUUAGAAGCAAGCCUCGGGUUAGGAGACUUGAUCCCGCAGGUACAACUCGGAGUAGACACCGACAGGCCGGCCUUCCUCCGAUCUACACCUCCACUCUAUCUCUCUCAAUCUAGUAGAAACUAGAAGAUCUAUUUCUACCUUACAUUGGUUGCUAAGCCUAAAAAGAAAUAUUAUUUAGAGAAGAGGUUUUCCUUCGAGGGCACCCCUCAAUCUCUAUGAUAAUUUCUUGUCCUCUCCAGGGGCCAGGGGGGUCUCCUUAUAUAGUCCUUCUCCUCUAUGCAUUUUUGGGUCGGUAGGCGAGGUGGUACUACAUUAUCUUUGAUCUAUUAGGUCGGUGGAACGUCGUGUGCGAAGAGAGUCCCGAACGGAGUCCAAAGGGGGGCGGGCGCCCUGGGCGUGGCCCCUUUCGGCCUCCGCUUCCUUCCCGUGGCUUCUGGAGUCUUCUAGAUGGUGGAAAAUUGCACGGUGCGUUGUUAUCUCUAUGUAAUCCUGACAUGUGGGCCUUUCUUCCUUAUUUCCUGAUAACCCCCUGCAGAAAUAGACAAACACCAAAACUCGUGGAAUUCUGUCAGAUAAAACCCUAAGUGUAGAUGUUGAUUUCAUUUGGAUCCUUUUCUUUGUUUAUUUGAUAAUUAAAUUUGAUACUUAAGGACCGUCAACAAAGUCCCCCAAGCUUACCUCUUGCUCGUCCCUGAGCAAGGAUGAACUCAAGAGUUUCUAUAGUGGUUUCAUGCCUCAAAAGUACACACGCAUUCAAGCAAGAUCUCAUCUGUGAGUUAGAAUAAACUGUUAAGACUCAAAACUUACUCAUUUUACCUUUCACCAUGGGGCUUGUAACCGUCACUUGUGUCUUGAGCAGUUAAAAGAUAGAACGGUCAAGUGAAGCGCCAUGUCUCUUAUUCUUGAUCAGCUAUAGCUCUGGAGUUUUUGUAGAUUUUCAAAUAAAACUCAGAGAUUCCUUAUAUGACUCUCUCAGAUCUCUCUUUUGUGGUAUUUCUGGAUCCUUACCAACGCAGUAAUGGUAUAUGCCUUCUCUCAAAGUAUGUGGUAUUUUUGGUAUGAGGCAUAGUGAUAUUGCCUUCUCUCUCACCCUACUCUAAUAAGGUUUUGAUAUCUAGAGCUCAUAGGUGGGAGACAGCUAAUACAUACUUACAAGACAUUUAUUGCAUAGUCAAACCAUGGAUCCAGAGAAACAAGUCAAUAAGUCAAAUCAAGAUGUGCAUGUGUGGCGAAUGAAUGGUGUAUGGUGAUGAUGGUGAUAACAAUGGUGAAAGUCUAAUUCUAUUUGUUUUGCUCUUUUAAGGGGAUACAUACCUUUCUUGCACUUUGAAGCUUUUUGGGGAGAAUGAAAUGCUCUAUAUUUUACUUUUUUUUUCUUUCCUCUCAGGUGGGUAUCUUGUACCCCUAAUUCUACUGUCGGACACUUGUCCAUUUUUACCUCUCGUCUCACUUUUUCUUUUCUUCAAGGUUCCGCGCACUUGCCCCUUUUUAUUUCCUCGUAUUAUUAUUAUUAUUAUUAUUAUUAUUAUUAUUAUUAUUAUUAUUAUUAUUAUUAUUAUUAUUAUUAUUAUUAUUAUUAUUAUUAUUAUUAUUAUUAUUAUUAUUAUUAUUAUUAUUUCUCUUUUUUUAGAGCACUCAUCUCUUGAAAUAAUAUAGCAAGUGGUAGUAACCAAAAUAACUGGAGCAUUUAUUUCACAGGGAAUAACAGGGACAGGAAAAUAUUUUUGGCUAUUGUCUCCCGGAUUAGGAGUAGAAUGUUUUUUGGGUGAAUCUGGAGAUGGAAAUGAGUGGAUAUAUGUGGAUGGUACUUCCGGAGUAGAAGUAGCAUGUAUGAGUGAACGUGCAAGUGAAUCUUGAUUUUAACCACAUGACAAGCUCCUAAGGGUCUACACAGCUUGACCACACUCAAUGCUCAUAAGCAGUAAAAAGUAAAUGUGUGGCUCAAAGUCUAAUAAGCAUGUAUAUAUGGCUGUGGUAGGAAUUUAAACUCUCAUCAUACAGGAACUCAUCAUGUGUUAUUUUAAAGAUUUUCAAAGCUAAAAUUCUCCAGAAGUUUAGCAUCUCUAGGAAUAGAUAAACAACAGCUCAACCUUCCCAUAUCAUAUCCGUUAACGACUUAGACUUUAGAUCAAGUACUCUUCCCACAAGUUCAGGUUUAGAGCAAAUCUUACUUCAUAACAGUCAUGCCUAAACUUGAGAGAGAUUUUAAUUUUAAGAACUAAUCAUGGCAGAGCAACUAUUCAUCAUUUCCAUGUAAGAGCUUAUCAUGAGGGUUCAUAGCAAACUUUAUUUAUUUAUUUAUUUAGCAAACUAAGCAAAGAUAUAUAUAAAAGCACAAAAUCUUUAUUUGGGUUUUCAUGAUUAUGCAUCUUUUAUUAUUUGAGUAAAGUAUAAACGCGAGUAGAAACACUUAGGUGGAUAAAUGGGGGUGCUCUCCCCCAAGCUGGAUUUUGACGUAAUUUCUUCUCAUGUAGCUAGCAGGUGAUGGAGGUGUAUUUGAAAGUCGGCAGUACCCUGACAGCGAUUAGGAUGUCCUCCAUCUGCUAGUCUUCUUUGAUCCUUGAAUUCUGUGGAGCUCAAAUAGACAACAAAGCUUUGUGGAACUGGUUAAGUGUUAGCAUAAAUAUCUAGCCUUUAUCAUGUUGAGCCUCCUCAAUAAAUGUUACUCUCUUUUGUAGGAUCGUAAAUUUAUUUUUAUAUUUUUAUGUUUAUAGGACAAUAAUAUAUUUAUUUUAUUUUUACGCCACCACAGUGAAUGUACUUAUGGGUUUUAUGCCACUCGUAUACUCACAUGGGGCUUACUAUUUUUUUAACAUUUUUAUUUUCUUUUUUAAGAUAGUAUGAACCUAAUUAACUAAGCAAACUAUUUUAAAUAAUUGAAAGGAAAAGGAUAACUACCAAGUUUACCUCUUGGCAAGGCGUUCGGUAUUUUCAAGUCCUCCGAACGGGACUCUCUGUUUUCUCAGUCGUCCUGAGAUUCGCUAGGUGGCGUAGUCGGUGAUUCCGGCGGCGCCUCUCUUCGUGUAUAACUAUCUUCUCCCUCCACACCUGACUCGGUGCUACGGUCUCCUCAGGACAGUUUUGUUCAAGCUAUAUGUCUUCAGACCUUAUCACUUCUCCUUCAUAGUCUGCCUAUCCGUCCUUGAUGAUUUGCCUCCUCUGGUUGCGGUUGCGUUGUCUUCUUCUUGUCCUGACCUGCUUAGAAUCUUCAACUAUAUAGUUAGAAUCAUUAAAGUAGUGGCGUACCUUCUCAGAGGGGAAGUGCAUGUGGACUUCUCUGGUUCCAAUGUAGAUGAUAACUUUGAUAGUGUUGAGGAAUGGUCUUCCAAGGAUGAUGGGUGGGUCGUACUCGUCUUCUCCCAUGUCAAUGACCUGAAAAUCGUCUCGAGCUGAAUGUAUGUUGGUUGUAGGGGCAUGGUUCCAUGUAGGAGCUGAUAAGUGACUGCGGCCAUUAUGUUGUUGUCAGAUCCGGUGUCGUAGAGUGUCUUCUGAAAAGAGUAUCCAUUGAUUGUGCACUCGAUGCUUGGAACACCAGGGUUGUCCUUCUUGAUCAAGAAAGGUGACUUGAGUCGAUGAUCUUGACCUCUUUGAGUUGCAGUGACCAUCUUAGUUGACUCGGUCCACAUUUGCUUGUUCCUGUUCCUCCUGUUGGUCCUCUUCCUUGGUUCAUGUCGGGAUUGCUCUGAAGUUUGUGUAGUCUUGUUCUUGAAGGAAAGUCUCCUUCUUCCCCUUGAUGUAGAGACUGAUCUUGGCAGCAUUAGCGUAGAUGACAGCUCUGGUGUUUUGGAAUGGCCUCCCUAAGAUGAUGGGUGCCCUCUCCUUAGUACCAGUCUCUAUCACCAUGAAGUUUGCUGGAGCGUACAAGGUACCAACUCGGACACAGAGGUUCUUCAAUAUUUCCUUUGGGAAACUAAGUGUCUGAUCUCCAUUGUGUUUGUGCUCGUAGAUCUAGGUCCUUCACUUGGUGGAGUCUGGGAGUUGUAAAACUCCUUCAGGUUUUGCUCGAAGUGUACCUGUUCAUAGAGACAAGGCAGAGAUCAAGUGCAUAGGCCCUGUUGGUGAAAAACACCAACAGAACCAGAAGUGUAAUUGUUCUUCUCUAACCUUAAGCAUAGUGAGCAAAAUAAAGUUGAUGGAUCAUGAGUGUAGCAUUUAAAACAUUUGCCAGAUCAGAUUGCUUGACCUAAUGGAAAGAUAAUCUAUCUAUAUAUAUAUUUUGUUUAUAUCUUCCAAAGAUUGAAUGUGCAACAUUUUGGCUUAUAUGAUUAGGAGUGUGGGAUCACGAAGGUAGUACUAAGAACAAAGAUUAAAGGACUAAACAUGUUGAAUUAAUUGGGUUGGUUAAUUUGGAGCUACAAAUCAUACAUGUUUGUCUCUUUAUUUAUGUGAACGCCAGAACCAAGGAGAAACUUUAUAAAAGUGAUAGUCAAGUACCUUAAGAUGUUACCUUACUUGAAGAGUGAUGGUAUAGUAUCACCUUGUGGAAGCUUUCCUUUCUUAGCGGUUGUGCAUUGUGUUUGUGGCACUCUUCAUGGAUCAUCUCUUUAUGAUGAAUGAGCUAUGUCUUCCUUGUACAAAUUGUUAAACUUCAUGUGUCACUUUCUUCAUCUCCAAUGCGAGUUUAUCUCAGGACUUCCCAGGUUGAUAUUGAAAGUUUUCCUGUAGGGGUUAGUCCAACAAAAUAUACCAAUGUCUACACAAGCAAUUUUUAGUUCAAUAACUGAACUAGACUCCAUGUCUAAUCACAUUGAGGAAGGCUAUUUAACCUAAGCACCAUGCUUAAUUUAAAAGCCAAUAGAAGUAUGUGCAGUACUUCCAAACUAACACUUACUAGGAUAAACAAAGGUAGCGUGAUAGCAUUUAUAGAGAUCUACUCAAGUGGAGAUUAAGUAGUGUGAUUAGUACUUAACAAAUUGAGCAUCUCUCAAAGGUAGGGACAACCAACAUAGCAACAUGGCAAAGGAUGUUUUUAUGUAAAGUACUCCCCCAAGCUUGAAUUUUGCGAAAUUCAAGUUUGGAUGAAUUUAAUUCAAUGUUGUAUGAUGGUUGGUUGGACAUACCUUGUGCUUGUCAUUUAUCCAAUCUUCUUGCUCCAAUCCUAGAAAGUUUAGUGGCAAGAAUACCCGAAGGAAUAUUUCUAAAAUUAUCUUAUAUGCUCAAUACACAAGGCAAUGUUGCAAAUAAUUAGAAGUUCAUAUUACGAUCUGAUUAGUGCUUGUUUUAGAAAACUAAGCUUGUCCUUGGGAAACCAUCAAUUUAUGUCGGCGAAGUGGUUUCCCUUCCAACGCUGACCUAUAUCAAGAUCAACUCAACAAGAUCUGCAAUAUUUGUUAUAGACAUAUGCAUCGACAGCCGCUCUUUUAAAGUUGUUAUAAGUAGAAAAGAAGAGGGGGUUGGAGAUCUCAAAUGUGGUAAGGUUAGAGAGACCAAUUGAUUGGGGAGAUGUUUUAUAUGAGCAAGGACUUGAUGAGGUAUUUAUGAAAUAACUUCCAUGCUCACUAUUGUUUCUCUCGUUCUCAAACUCCAAGGAUGAUUCUUCAUGAAUGCUUAAAAUUCCUCUAGGAUUGUCUCUCAAGUUUGUUUUAUCUAUCCAUUCAAUGGUGAUAGCACAUGGAUUUUUAAUGCCCUCUAGCCAUUGAUGUUGCUCUUCUCGAUCCUCCUUCUUAUGCAUGGGAUGUCUAGAGAGAUUCAUAGGAUUAUCGGGAGGUUCAAGAGAAAGAGCAUAGUAGAAAUUAUUAAACUCAAUGAUGGGUUGGAUAGCCGAAUUAUGGGAUUGAAAUGUUUGGAAAUCGGCUAUUGAAACUUCCUUUCCUCGUCUGGGAGAUGAUUCCUUCUCUAUUUCUAAGAUUUUUCUAUGAAGACUAGUACAAGAAGGAUGUCCAUAAAUGAAGACAUACCUUCCUUUACUAAUAGAUAAAGAAAGAAGGACUCUACCAAAGCUUAUGUGAUUAAGACCAAUGUGAAAAUAUCUAGGAAAAACAUGGUCUUGUAGGGCUAGGUCUAAACCAGAAUUUAUAGAAAGAUUAACAGAUUCCCUAGGUGUAGCUAAAAGUGCAUUAUCUUCUUGAUUAAAAGAUAGGACCUCGGCUAUAGAAAAGGGUUGGUUUUGACCUAUUGCAAUCAACUCCGGACACAGAUCAUAAUUAGGGGCAGGACGUGUUGACUCCCAUGGUCUAUGGCUAGUCUCCGAAGGUGCAAAGAAUUUAAUAAUAGGUAUGGAAUUUAAGUUAUCCAUAAAGAUAAAAAGAUAAAAGAAUAAAACUAUAAAAGUAUAAUACAAGAUAAUAGCAAGACUCAAAGUUAUCUCAGCAAACCGUCUUUCUCCUCGGCAACGGCGCCAGAAAUGCUUGUUGAUAUUUGGUAACGCAAUAAUGAAAUGAUCCGCAAGCGCACGGAUAUCGGUGAGCAUUUCACCCGGGAGGUUAUCCAGAGUUAUCGUAUUUAUAUUUUUACCACUGGG
rnacentral:lncRNA from 1 species